ACUCGUUUCUCAGUGUAUGUGGGUCUGAGGUAAACAUGGAGAACUUCUUAAGGGUAAACAGGGAAUAGCCUGCCCUCCUGGUCAAAUGGUAACCCUGCUGCUGUUACAUAUGGGCCCAGGACGGCUUCCCAUCACUCAUCACUCAAGGCCUGCCAGACAGUUCCCUUGACCCAGAUGCCCCAGGUAGGGGAUGGAAGAGAACCUGAACAGGGAGCUGACACCCUGUCAGCACAACAGGGGCAGAGUUAGAAAACACAACCCCAAGGGAAGCCAGAGGAAUACUAAUCUGGACCCUCCAGAAACAUUGUCUUCAAACUGGGUAUGCAUACCCCUGGGGGUUCACAAAAACUUUCCAAGAGGUAUGUGAACAUAUUUAGCUUAAAGGGAAUCAAUGUAAAGAUCCUCAGCCUCCAGGUGUACUCUUUACAAAAAUUAAUCUGACUAAGAGGAGUGAUGACAGCAAGAUGGUAAAAUAAGAAGCUCAGACUCCCUUCCCCAACAGAGACAUUGACGUAACAAUAAUAUACAGUCCAAAAAGCCUUUAUGAGAAUUCCAGAAACCAGUGAAGAAACUCACAGUACCCAGGCAAACUAAAAGCCAAGAACAGCUACACUGAAACAGAUAAGAGGAACCAUUUCAUUUCACUUACAAUAGCCCUUCUCCCAAGCUGGCACGCUUGGAGCACUCAGGAGUAAAACAGAAAUCAUAGAGUGAGUGCUCUCAGACCACAGUGGAAUUAAACUAGAAAUCAACAACAGAAAAAUGGCUAGAUAAUCCCCAAAUACAUGGAAUUUAAAGUAUUAAAUAAACUUUAAAUAACACAAAGCUUCUAAACAACACACAGUCCAAAGAAGAAAUAUCAAGAGAAAUUUUAAAAUGUUUUGAACUAAAUGAGAAACACAACUUAUCAAAAUUUGUGGGAUGUAGCAAAAGAAGUGCUUUGAUGGCACUGAAUAACAUAUAUUAGAAAAGAGGGAAACUCUAAACUCAAUAAUCUAAGCUCUACCUUUGGAAGUUUAGAAAAAGAAGAGAAAACUAAAUCAAAAGUAAGCAG
rnacentral:lncRNA from 1 species